rnacentral:rRNA from 1 species
UACGUAGGGUGCAAGCGUUGUCCGGAAUUAUUGGGCGUAAAGAGCUCGUAGGCGGUCUGUCGCGUCGGCUGUGAAAUCCCGAGGCUCAACCUCGGGUCUGCAGUCGAUACGGGCAAACUAGAGUAUUGCAGGGGAGACUGGAAUUCCUGGUGUAGCGGUGAAAUGCGCAGAUAUCGGAAGGAACACCAGUGGCGAAAGCGGCUUCCUGGUCCAGCACCGACGUUCAGGCACGAAAGCGUGGGGAGCAAACAGG